rnacentral:rRNA from 1 species
GAACGAUGAAGCCUUUCGGGGUGGAUUAGUGGCGAACGGGUGAGUAACACGUGGGCAAUCUGCCCUUCACUCUGGGACAAGCCCUGGAAACGGGGUCUAAUACCGGAUAAUACUCCUGCCUGCAUGGGUGGGGGUUGAAAGCUCCGGCGGUGAAGGAUGAGCCCGCGGCCUAUCAGCUUGUUGGUGGGGUAAUGGCCUACCAAGGCGACGACGGGUAGCCGGCCUGAGAGGGCGACCGGCCACACUGGGACUGAGACACGGCCCAGACUCCUACGGGAGGCAGCAGUGGGGAAUAUUGCACAAUGGGCGAAAGCCUGAUGCAGCGACGCCGCGUGAGGGAUGACGGCCUUCGGGUUGUAAACCUCUUUCAGCAGGGAAGAAGCGCAAGUGACGGUACCUGCAGAAGAAGCGCCGGCUAACUACGUGCCAGCAGCCGCGGUAAUACGUAGGGCGCAAGCGUUGUCCGGAAUUAUUGGGCGUAAAGAGCUCGUAGGCGGCUUGUCACGUCGGAUGUGAAAGCCCGGGGCUUAACCCCGGGUCUGCAUUCGAUACGGGCUAGCUAGAGUGUGGUAGGGGAGAUCGGAAUUCCUGGUGUAGCGGUGAAAUGCGCAGAUAUCAGGAGGAACACCGGUGGCGAAGGCGGAUCUCUGGGCCAUUACUGACGCUGAGGAGCGAAAGCGUGGGGAGCGAACAGGAUUAGAUACCCUGGUAGUCCACGC